CACGUAGGCACCAAGCGUUAUCCGGAUUUAUUGGGCGUAAAGAGCUCGUAGGCGGUUCGGUAAGUCGGGUGUGAAAACUCUGGGCUCAACCCAGAGAGGCCACCCGAUACUGCUGUGACUAGAGUGCGGUAGGGGAGCGGGGAAUUCCUGGUGUAGCGGUGAAAUGCGCAGAUAUCAGGAGGAACACCAGCGGCGAAGGCGCCGCUCUGGGCCGUAACUGACGCUGAGGAGCGAAAGCGUGGGGAGCGAACAGG
rnacentral:rRNA from 1 species